UACGUAGGGUGCGAGCGUUAAUCGGAAUUACUGGGCGUAAAGCGUGCGCAGGCGGUUCGUUAAGUUCGAUGUGAAAUCCCCGGGCUCAACCUGGGAACUGCAUUUGUGACUGCAUCGCUGGAGUGCGGCAGAGGGGGAUGGAAUUCCGCGUGUAGCAGUGAAAUGCGUAGAUAUGCGGAGGAACACCGAUGGCGAAGGCAAUCCCCUGGGCCUGCACUGACGCUCAUGCACGAAAGCGUGGGGAGCAAACAGG
rnacentral:rRNA from 1 species